GGGUGAGCACAGCGGUGAAUUGGGUUCCCUGGUCGGAGAGGAUCUCCUUAGGAAACCCGAACCUAGUAAAAAUUCUAACCAGGGCAUCAGCAACCGUCUCUGCCUCUAUAUUAGACAGCGCUACUGCCUCUGGAUAGCGAGUGGCAUAGUCCACCACGGUAAGAACGUAUUUCUUACCUGAUGGACUAGCCUUGGCCAGUGGACCCACAAUGUCAACGGCUAUGCGGGCAAAGGGCUCCCCUAUAAUAGACAUCGAUAAUAG